rnacentral:rRNA from 1 species
GCAGUCGAACGCGAAAGAAGCCUUCGGGUUUCAAGUAGAGUGGCGUCCGGGUGAGUAACACGUAGGUAAUCUACCUUCGGGUGGGGAAUAACGCAGGGAAACUUGCGCUAAUACCGCAUAAUGCAGCGGCACCACAUGGUGACAGUUGUUAAAGCGGGGGCUUUUCGGACCUCGCGCCUGAAGAGGAGCCUGCGGCAGAUUAGCUAGUUGGUAGGGUAACGGCUUACCAAGGCGACGAUCUGUAACCGGCCUGAGAGGGCGGUCGGUCACACUGACACUGACAUACGGGUCAGACUCCUACGGGAGGCAGCAGUCGGGAAUUUUGGGCAAUGGGCGAAAGCCUGACCCAGCAACGCCGCGUGAAGGAUGAAAUCCUUCGGGAUGUAAACUUCGCAAGAAUGGGAAGAAUGAGCGAGUACUAAUACUGCUCGUGAUGACGGUACCAUUUGUAAGCUCCGGCUAACUCCGUGCCAGCAGCCGCGGUAAUACGGGGGGAGCAAGCGUUGUUCGGAUUUACUGGGCGUAAAGGGCGCGUAGGCGGCCAGCGCAAGUCAGUUGUGAAAUCUCCGGGCUUAACUCGGAAAGGUCAACUGAUACUGCGCGGCUAGAGUGCAGAAGGGGCAACUGGAAUUCUCGGUGUAGCGGUGAAAUGCGUAGAUAUCGAGAGGAACACCUGCGGCGAAGGCGGGUUGCUGGGCUGACACUGACGCUGAUGCGCGAAAGCCAGGGGAGCGAACGGGAUUAGAUACCCCGGUAGUCCUGGCCUUAAACGAUGGAUGCUUGGUGUCUGGA